rnacentral:rRNA from 1 species
UACGUAGGGUGCGAGCGUUAAUCGGAAUUACUGGGCGUAAAGCGUACGCAGGCGGCUUGCAAGACAGGUGUGAAUCCCGGCUUAACCUGGAACUGCGUCCGAUACUGGCAGGCUUGAAUUCGGAGAGGGAUGCGGAAUUCCAGGUGUAGCGGUGAAAUGCGUAGAUAUCUGGAGGAACACCGGUGGCGAAGGCGGCAUCCUGGACCGAGAUUGACGCUGAGGCGCGAAAGCCAGGGAGCAAAGCGGG